rnacentral:rRNA from 1 species
UCCGGGANUUAGUGCCGACGCUAACGCAUUAAGCACUCCGCCUGGGGAGUACGACCGCAAGGUUGAAACUCAAAGGAAUUGACGGGGGCCCNCACAAGCGGUGGAGCAUGUGGUUUAAUUNGAAGCAACGCGAAGAACCUUACCAGGUCUUGACAUCNCGAUGCCCGCUCUAGAGAUAGAGUUNUUCUUCGGAACAUNGGAGACAGGUGGUGCAUGGUNGUCGUCAGCUCGNGUCGUGAGAUGUUGGGUUAAGUCCCGCAACGAGCGCAACCCUUAUUGUUAGUUGCCAUCAUUAAGUUGGGCACUCUAGCGAGACUGCCGGUAAUAAACCGGAGGAAGGUGGGGAUGACGUCAAAUCAUCAUGCCCCUUAUGACCUGGGCUACACAUGUGNUACAAUGGUUGGUACAACGAGUCGCAAGCCGGUGACGGCAAGNUAAUCU